GUAGAGUCGAGGAAAUAUAGAAGAAGCGGCGAACUCUACGGUGAUAAAUUCCGGAGAACCGUCAGACUUGCCGCGAUCGGUUGUCGGGUCGGACCACCGAGGUUGGGUUCGCUGGCUUUAGGGUUAGAUCAGUCGCGUAUUUUUCUUUUUCUUAUUAUUCUUCUUGCGACGUUGCUGCUGCUUGUCGAGUGCGUUUCGUCAGACGCGAGGAUCGCCCAGAUUCGUUUUCCUCCUUCCGUCUUCGCCUCUUCAAAGCUCUUAUUAUAUGCGUGUACAUAUAUUAGGAUUUUUAUGUCAAUUCUAACCCGUGCCUGUAAACGGACGGAUAUCACCAUUUAAAAUACACGAGUUUCGGACACACUCUCAGCAUGUAUUUUAUUGCAAGCGUGACGAUGUUCGAAUCCAUCUGUAAUUGCCAAGAUUCAAAUUAAGAGACGACGAUCGCUCAGUCUCAACGACUUGACCCUUAGCUAGCUGGCGUGUGAGACCGAAGAAGGGAGGCGGAGGUGAUAAAGAGAGAUGAAAUAGACGGAUCGGACGGAAGUCAACGACCCGGGGUGGCGGCGCGAAGCUGUGAUUCUAUAAAGGUAGCUGCGUCAAGACGAAAAGGCGAAAAGACGAGGCGACGAGGAGACGAGGAGACGAACCUGCUUGCCGGAGAGGAAGAAAAAACGCUUCGACGAAACGAAAUUAGCGAAAGCGAUACGAACGUUUUCGAAACGAGGAAGGUACGAGAGCCCGGAUCGAUAUCUCGGACUUGAUUUCUUUUUUGUAACACGUUAUAGCGGACUAAAACUAAGCAACGCGCUUAUGCUCCUUUUUUUUUUUUAUUUUACAUUUUUUUAUCCUUUACAUCGGCAUCGUAACGUCAGCAAAACAGUUAUUGUGCAAUUUUAAAAGAAGUUGACUCUUCAAAAUACCUAUAAACAUGUUUGUUUCUUUGUUAUUACUUACUAUCUCAACAUUGUACGUGCAGUUUAUCCCGUUAAGUUGUAUAAUGAAUGGAGAGAAAGAGAGAAAGAGAUGGAAAAAAAAAUAAAUAAAUAAAUAACAAGGGAAAAUAAUCGCCUUUAAAUUUAGGGGGAGAGAUGAUGGGGUACAAAGCACUGAUCAUAUGGGAUCAGAAUUUCGAAUCAAUCGUUGGCCGUUUCUGCAUCGUACAGCACGGCCUAGUUUAUCCCGCAAACCACUUGACUCGCUUACUCUCUAUAUAUAUAUAUAUAUAUAUUAUAUAUAUGUGUGUAUAUAAGAGCAUCACAUCCUACCAUAGAUCUGACGAGGCCUUGUAUUAAAACUGUUAACGUAUCAAGGUACCGCCGCCUGUCACUCAAGAAAAGGACCACCUUAGGCCCUCCGAAAUAACGCAAUUAUUACGAAACGAGUUUUUCGAAUUAGGUACAGUAAUUAUUCGUACACCUAGAGGUAUAUACGAUAAUAGGUUACAGGUUACGCAAGUUUAACCGUAUUGUGUUCGAUCGUUUUAACACAGAUUUUUGCUACGCACGAGUUCGCUCUUCGAUUCGCGAGUAUAAUCUUAAAACCUAAUUCAACGCGUUACGUGUGUACGUAUUACGCAACAUAUUGCACAGGUACGUGCGUAUCGAACAGACGUUUGACCGACGUAUUUUCGGUUGGUGAUUUUACAAAAAUUUU